rnacentral:misc_RNA from 1 species
UACAGAGGGUGCAAGCGUUAAUCGGAAUUACUGGGCGUAAAGCGUGCGUAGACGGUUAUGUAAGUCGGAUGUGAAAGCCCCGGGCUCAACCUGGGAAUUGCAUUCGAGACUGCAUAGCUAGGAUGCGGAAGAGGGAAGUGGAAUUUCCGGUGUAGCGGUGAAAUGCGUAGAUAUCGGAAGGAACACCAGUGGCGAAAGCGACUUCCUGGUCCAGCAUCGACGUUCAGGCACGAAAGCGUGGGGAGCAAACAGG